rnacentral:rRNA from 1 species
GAUUCCUGUACUGCGGUAUGACAGAACUGUGGGGACACGUAAGGAAAGCGGAAGCCGGGAAUGGAAAGCCCGGUGCAAGCGGGGUACCAGUCACUUUGGCAAAUCCGGGUGGCAAUGGGAAGCCGUGAUGCGGAGCGAAAUAAAGUAGCGAAGUCCGUGAGCCAUGCGUCAAGAAAAGCCGCUAUUGUUUAUACCGUACCCGUACCGUAAACCGACACAGGUGGAUGAGGAGAGAAUCCUAAGGCCGGCGGAAGAAGCAUUGUCAAGGAACUCGGCAAAAUGGCCCCGUAACUUAGGGAUAAGGGGUGCCUGGGAAACCAGGCCGCAGAGAAUAGGCUCAAGCAACUGUUUAGCAAAAACACAGGUCUAUGCGAAACCGAAAGGUGAGGUAUAUGGGCUGACGCCUGCCCGGUGCUGGAAGGUUAAGAGGAGAGGUUAGCGGUAACGCGAAGCUUUGAAUUUAAGCCCCAGUAAACGGCGGCCGUAACAAUAACGGUCCUAAGGUAGCGAAAUUCCUUGUCGGGUAAGUUCCGACCCGCACGAAAGGCGUAAUGAUUUGAGCGCUGUCUCGACAAUGCAUCCGGUGAAAUUGAAGUACCAGUGAAGAUGCUGGUUACCUGCGCCAGGACGGAAAGACCCCAUGGAGCUUUACUCCAGUCUGGUACUGGGACUCGGUAUUGCAUGUACAGGAUAGGUGGGAGGCUAGGAGAUGGUAACGCCAGUUGCCAUGGAGCCGCUGUUGGGAUACCACCCUUGCAGUAUUGGGUUUCUAACCAGCCGCCGUGACUCGGCGGUGGGACAAUGCCAGACGGGGAGUUUGACUGGGGCGGUCGCCUCCGAAAGGGUAUCGGAGGCGCCCAAAGGUUCCCUCAGAAUGGACGGAAACCAUUCGAAGAGUGCAAAGGCAGAAGGGAGCUUGACUGCGACACCGACGGGUGGAGCAGGUACGAAAGUAGGGCUUAGUGAUCCGGUGGUAUUAAGUGGGAAUGCCAUCGCUCAACGGAUAAAAGCUACCCUGGGAUAACAGGCUUAUCACUCCCAAGAGUUCACAUCGACGGAGUGGUUUGGCACCUCGAUGUCGGCUCAUCGCAUCCUGGGGCUGUAGUAGGUCCCAAGGGUUGGGCUGUUCGCCCAUUAAAGCGGUACGCGAGCUGGGUUCAGAACGUCGUGAGACAGUUCGGUCCCUAUCCGGCGUGGGCGUAGGAUAUCUGAGAGGAGCUGUCCUUAGUACGAGAGGACCGGGAUGGACGGGCCGCUGGUGCAUCGGUUAGACUGCCAAGUCUACGGCCGAGUAGCCAAGCCCGGAAGGGAUAAACGCUGAAGGCAUCUAAGCGUGAAGCCCCCCUUAAGAUGAGAUAUCCCAUUCGAAAGAAGUAAACCCCCUUGAAGACGACGAGGUAGAUAGGGCAGAGGUGGAAGUGCAGCAAUGCAUGGAGCUGACUGUUACUAAUCGGGUGAGGGCUUGAACAA